UGAAUCUUUUUUCUUCCUGGACCAAACUAAAGUGAACUUCGUUCCUGUCUGAUAUUUAUCCAGCUUCAAAAGUGGAAGCACCUGAAGCUACUUUGUUCAAGUUUCCUGAGUUUCUGGGAAGGCCUGGUUUCCCCAAAGGAACGAUUUCUGGUAGAAUUCUGGAAGUCUGACCCAAGAAAAAUAAUCCAGUAUAGCCAAUGAAUUGAGGACAAGAAGGUUUCCAAUCAGCAGUUUAAGCCAGGAGAGUAAAUCCAGUUCCUAUUACUCCAUCCUGUCCAGAAGCACAGGUCUUAAGUGAAAUUUAAUACCAAAGAAACAGUUCCAAAUUUUACAACGGAUCUAUCACUGGUUGUUAGCAUAUCUUCCCACACCCAAGACACCAAGAUACCUUCUACUCACUGUUAAAGCUUUAUGAUGAGCAAAACUUCCACCACUGUGCUUCCUUAGCAUCCAACAAUAUGAAAACCUGAAGCCAAGCUGACAAAUAGAGUGUGAAGGGCCUUCUACUGCAUUUAAGAAAAAACUGAGACUUGCUAUAGGAGACACAGUCUACUGGAGAGAGGCAGAACUGUGAACAGAUGACUGCAUAAAGAGGCAAAGUCAAGUCUUAUUUAUUCAGAGGAAGAAGUCCCCGUGAUCAAGCAACAAGUAAAAUCAUUUCAGUGUGCAAGACAUGCAUUUGUGAUUGAAAAUGCACAAGCAUAUUUAUUAUCCAUCAUAGAUGAUCACCUAUUAUAAUCAGUGAGAUUUCUUAAUGGCACAGCAUCUAGAGGAGGACGUCAUGCAUGAACCUGUCAUAUUCAGAAAGUAAGGAAGUGGCACAGUGGGAACAAUUCAGGAAAGUAAAUAAACAUGACAGUAGGUUUUAAAUCUACUUUACCUGUUCUUAC